GCCGAAGUGGUGGAAUUGGUAGACACGCCAGGUUCAGGGUCUGGUACCCGCAAGGGUGUGGGAGUUCGAGUCUCCCCUUCGGCACCA
rnacentral:tRNA from 1 species